ensembl:snRNA U1 U1 spliceosomal RNA
ACACUUACCCAGCAGGGGAGAUACCAGGAUCUUAAAGAUGGUUUUCCCUGGGCAAGACUUAUCCAUUGCACUCUGGACCAGCUGUUCUCAGCGAUUUACCCAAACAUGGGGAACUCGACUAUAAUUUGUGGUAGUGGCGGGGGGGAUUUGUGUGCUCCCCCCUU